AUUAAGAGUGAAAUCAACAAAGCAAAUACAAAUGAAGGACAACAAGUUUCAAAAGCUCAGAUGACAUCCUUUACUCUCUGGUGUUAGACCUGCCAUGUGGUAGGCCCCAUGGGGAGAAGUUCAUGAAUGUAGCCAACAUGAGCUGAUGGAUCAUGGUAGUUUCCAUGUGCCAUGCUCACAGGCCUGGAGAUUGACAGCAGUGAUGACUGGACAAGAUAAAUCGUUUUACUUGGGGAUUCCCUGGAGGCAUGCUAACCUUCUAUUGAAGACACAUGACUGAAGUAAAAUAUUUUAAGGACAGCUGAAAUGGGUUUCAGAAGAGUAAAGGGAAGAGAAGCCUGGAGACAAGAAAAGGAUGGUGGCCGUAGAGUCCACAUGUGCAGGUAGGAGAGAC